UACGUAGGGACCGAGCGUUGUCCGGAUUUAUUGGGCGUAAAGAGCUCGUAGGCGGUUGAGUAAGUCGGGUGUGAAAACUCUGGGCUUAACCCAGAGCCGCCACUCGAUACUGCUCUGACUUGAGUUCGGUAGGGGAGCAGGGAAUUCCUAGUGUAGCGGUGAAAUGCGCAGAUAUUAGGAGGAACACCGGUGGCGAAGGCGCUGCUCUGGGCCGAAACUGACGCUGAGGAGCGAAAGCGUGGGUAGCAAACAGG
rnacentral:rRNA from 1 species